UUGUCCUCAAUGUUUCAAGCAUAAAAUCACACUAAACAAAAGAAACACACAAACAGCAACUAAAACAACUAAAUGGCAGAUUCGAAAUAAAUAACAAAGUGAAGAGUUUUAGGAACGCAAAUCUGGAAUUGAAGUAAUUCCUUGGUCUUCCUUUGUUGAAUUGCAUGGGUUGCCUCCCAAGUAGCGCUUUCUUUAACGUCGUACAGCCGGACGAAAAACACAAUCAUGCCCCAUUGGAGCCCACGGCAUGGAGUGGUCUCCUCCACAACCUACAAAGUUCUUGUACAUUGCAUCCUUGAACGGAAAUGGAUAGUGAUGUUUGUUGAUGGGUGCGUUGUGUUGCCUAAGGUUCAUGUUCAUGCGCCCACCAUCGGAGAUUUGCUUGGGUACCUGCACCAAAGAAGGAAACCACCUAUCAACUUUAGUGGGAAUUGGAUUUGGACUAGGUGCCUUACCUUGGUGUUGUGAUGAAGUGGCAGCAACAUGAACUUUUUUUCUCAUGGUGUUCUCGGCCACAUUGGGUAUCUUAAGGGCAGUGGCCGUGGGGUCCUUAUGCUCUACUCCAAUUCCUCGUCUUGCAUGGCUCUUGAUGCAACCUUUGUGUUAGGGGCUGAAUGGUCUGUACCUAUCUUUUCUAUUGUAUCCAUAAUACAACAAGAACGAACAACGUUAGGAGUUUCAAUGGAUUCAGAAAUUUUAAAACAAAUCAUAUCACCACCAAAUGCCAUAGUUACUUCUCCUUUGGCCACAUCAAUCUUGGUUUGAGCCGUUUUCAUGAAGGGCCGUCCAAGGAGAAUGGGCAAUGAAGGAGCAUGAUCUGAUUCAUCCAUCUCAAGAAACAUAGAAAUCCGCCGGAAAGAUCAAAUGAUUAACCUGCACCAAAACAUCUUCCACAACUCCCUUUAGAUAUGCAUUAGAUCUAUCGGCCAAUUGUAUGAUUACACCAUCAUUUUUUUAACUUGCCUAGGUUCAUAGAUGCAUAAAUUGAAUAUGGCAUAACAUUUAUGGAUGCACCUAAGUCUAACAUGGCAGAUUUGAACCUAGUAUUACCAAUGACACAAGGAAUGGUGAAACUACCCGGAUCUUUGCAUUUAGGAGGUAGUUUACGUUGUAUCAUGGCAGACACAUUCUCACUUACCUGUACCACUUCUUUCUCCCGAAAACGUUUCUUUGUUGUACAAAGCUUCUUCAAAUACUUGGCGUACUUCGGGAUUUGCUUGAUUGCAUCCAAGAGAGGUAUGUUAACUUGAACCUUUCCUAAAAUUCUCUAGAACAUCUUUUUCCUCCUCUUCAUUCUUGAAUUGCAAAAAUCUGCUAGGAAAGGGCACAUUGGGUGGAAUAAAUGUUAGAAUUAACCAAACUUGGACUCAUCUUACCUAGUGUGGACGGAUUGGAUGGCUUAAGGGCCAUGGGUGCUUGCGGCAAAGGUGGUGCUACCUUUGCCGUGAGUUGGACUUGGUGUCUCCUCUUCAGAUUUCAACGUUUCAUCUCUUUGGGACCUGAUUUUGGUGGUGUAGGACCUGCCCCAACUUCUUUUCCACUCCUUAGCAUGAUUGCAUUGGCGGUUUCAAAA
rnacentral:lncRNA from 1 species